rnacentral:rRNA from 1 species
CAAUAGCGUAUAUUAAAGUUGUUGCAGUUAAAAAGCUCGUAGUUGGAUUUGUGGCGUACGGUGUGUUCCGGGCACUUGUUGUCUGAGUAACCUGCUGUUGCCAUCCUUGGGUGGAACCUGUGUGGCAUUAGGUUGUCGUGCAGGGGAUGCCCAUCAUUUACUGUGAAAAAAUUAGAGUGUUCAAAGCAGGCUUAUGCCGUUGAAUAUAUUAGCAUGGAAUAAUGAGAUAGGACUUUUUUGCUAUUUUGUUGGUUUGCGCAAAGAGGUAAUGAUUAAUAGGGACAGUUGGGGGUAUUCGUAUUCCAUUGUCAGAGGUGAAAUUCUUGGAUUUUUGGAAGACGAACUACUGCGAAAGCGUCUGCCAAGGAUGUUUUCAUUGA